UCCUGCGUCUUCUGCAUCCCUCUCAGAACCUGGAAAAAAAUAUUUGCAGUGGUCCUGAUGUCCGCAGCAGGCCUUGCUCCGAUGGUUUUGCAGAGUAGCAAGUGAAGAUUUCCAAAAGGCGGAAGAGCGGGAUAAGAGAAGAAAAAGAGAUAGAUAAGCUAGCACAGGAACAAGGCUCAGAGCAGGAAAGUUACCAGGACAGAACAGGGAGGGACUGACUGUCACAGGGCAGGGAGCAGGAGGAAAGAAGCCACUUUUCAGUGAAAGGUAUUUGUAAUUACAAGAAAGCCAGGUUCUUCAGGGCCCUGGAGAAACAGAAAUACAAUUCCCUGGCUUCUGGGGAGAGCACUUAGGGGCUCCUAUAUCCUCAUCCCUUUGGAUUUUCCCUUCUCAAACGCCAGAAUUUGGAAAAGGGUGGGGAGGGUCUUUAAAUUAUUUGGCACAAACUCCGAAAAAGUGGAGAGGCUGUGAGCCAGCCACCCUCCGACUAGGUUUUG
rnacentral:lncRNA from 1 species